rnacentral:rRNA from 1 species
UACGUAGGGUGCGAGCGUUUGUCCGGAAUUACUGGGCGUAAAGAGCUCGUAGGUGGUUUGUCGCGUUGUUCGUGAAAACUCACAGCUUGACUGUGGGCGUGCGGGCGAUACGGGCAGACUGGAGUACUGCAGGGGAGACUGGAAUUCCUGGUGUAGCGGUGAAAUGCGCAGAUAUCAGGAGGAACGCCGGUGGCGAAGGCGGGUCGUCUGGGCCGUAACUGACGCUGAGGAGCGAAAGCAUGGGGAGCGAACAGG